CAUCUUAAAGCUAAUUUAGUAAAGCGUUUCAUUUACAUUGAAAAGAAAUCUGUGCAAUUCAGUUUAAGAUGA
rnacentral:tRNA from 1 species